UUUAAUUUGUUUUUCUAUAUCGCUGGAUCAUCCACACUGUUAAUCAGUCAUCUCUCUUCCAUAAUGAGAUGUGACUGAAUCCGUGACUGGGAGGUAGGAACAGUUGUGCAUCAGGUAUUUCUGUUCGUUCUGUCCAUGUUUUUAACUUCUCACUGUUUCAUUCCACUUUGUUUGUGCUGCAGAGACGCCGAGCGGCGUCUCCUGUUAUCUGUGUCCAGAACUCCCUUGACAAGAUGCUGCUCUUCACUGAAGUGGACCUCUCUGUGUGAAACAGAGAGGAGCGCUGCCAAACAGCAAAAGAAAGAAAUGCAAACUUGUCGUUUGAGCCUCCUUAGUGCUUCAUUUCAUCUUUUGCCAGAGAUCACCGCGGUUCACAAGGCAGACUUUGGAACGGGGCCAUCUCCUUGGUUUCCUAGAUUUGCAUGGCUGUCCAGACGUCAGCAGCAACCCCCUCCCUCCCUCCCUCCCCCCCCCACCGCCACCGCCGCCACCACCACCACCACCACGCCGGCUCCUAAAUGCGUCAGCAGUCCUUCCUCCCAUCCCCCUCUCCUCCUCUUAUCCAUGCUGCCUCCCUGCAACACCUCAGCUCGGCUCCCACAGCACAUUGUGUCCUUGAGGACUCACUAACUACAGGCACCCCUUCCCCCACCCAUGCACUCUCUCCCAUUGCUAUUCAGCGUGUUUAAGUCUGCGCUAAUAAUUCAGCUCUAAUCGGACUGAUACAAACACUCUGAUUAUUUCCACUUGGGAAGUGAAGAGACGUACGUUCGUGUUUACGUCAAGAAUGAGGUCAUGCGCAGAAACGACACAGCCAGAAAGUAAUCUGGCUAAAUCGUUUACAAGAUGCAGCAUCGAGGCUGGAACACAUUAACCUGAUUAUCGCAGGUUAUUCUGGAAACUGGGUAACUAUGCUUUUUUUUUUUUCACAUUCUCUUGUGACUAUUAAUAAACUUUAAUUUGGUUUCAGAAUGUUUCUUUCCAUCCAUUGAUUCUGUAGCUCUGUGACUUUGAAAGCGGAUUGUCAAAGCAAAGUUUCAGGGAGGGAGAUCGGCAGGAAACUGUCAGACUAUUCUCAGGGAGGCGAAUUAACCACGGGGGAAAAGGUAGUUAGAUCUCAUCUAUAAUAUUACACGAUAAUUUAUUUGUUUUUUUAUAAAGAAAUGUUAAAUGUAUAAUGUUUGCCUCUGACCUGAGGUGAAGUACAAGCAUCAAGUAGCAGAAAAUAGAAAUACUCAAGUACAAAUACCUCAAAACUGUACAGUGCAGUAAGUGAGUAAAUGUAUUUACUGUUGUUACUUUCCACCGCUGACUAGCUCCUACAGCUAAGUAUGAAACGGUUUGAUUUCAGUGUAAUCUGAUUUAUUGGGAGUUGUAUUGGGUUUUCAGUUGUCUGAUAAAUAAUACAACUAUCUCUGGCACAAUCUUAUUAAUCUAUUUGAGAAAGUCUGUAUUAAAAAUAAUGUUCAGAUAUACAGUGUUAUUACCAAACGUCACAAACCAGAAACCAAACUACAGGAUACAGGACAGAAUGGAGGCUGGGGCUAGCUGGUUAGCAUGCUAACUUUAAAAGACGUGAUAGAGACGAGAGUUAACUUUGGCGUUUCCACCUGUUGGCGAGUAAAGGAAUGAAGUUUGAUGUUUAACUUGCAACGUGACUAGAGAGUAAACAGCUGUUAAUGCUAACGCUAGCUAUGCAGCAAUAG